AGCGAACGCUGGCGGCAGGCCUAACACAUGCAAGUCGAACGAACUCUUCGGAGUUAGUGGCGGACGGGUGAGUAACACGUGGGAACGUGCCUUUAGGUUCGGAAUAACUCAGGGAAACUUGUGCUAAUACCGAAUGUGCCCUUCGGGGGAAAGAUUUAUCGCCCUUAGAGCGGCCCGCGUCUGAUUAGCUAGUUGGUGAGGUAACGGCUGACCAAGGCGACGAUCAGUAGCUGGUCUGAGAGGAUGACCAGCCACACUGGGACUGAGACACGGCCCAGACUCCUACGGGAGGCAGCAGUGGGGAAUCUUGCGCAAUGGGCGAAAGCCUGACGCAGCCAUGCCGCGUGAAUGAUGAAGGUCUUAGGAUUGUAAAAUUCUUUCACCGGGGACGAUAAUGACGGUACCCGGAGAAGAAGCCCCGGCUAACUUCGUGCCAGCAGCCGCGGUAAUAC
rnacentral:rRNA from 1 species